UGGUUCUGGCAUCGAUGAAGAACGCAGCGAAAUGCGAUAAGUAAUGUGAAUUGCAGAAUUCAGCGAAUCAUCGAAUCUUUGAACGCACAUUGCGCCCGCUAGUAUUCUGGCGGGCAUGCCUGUUCGAGCGUCAUUUCACCACUCUGGCACUUCUGUGUCAGGCGUUGGGGCUUUUCUACAGGGUGCCUUGUACCCUGUAGGCCCUCAAGAUCAGUGGCGGGCCUAGUCGGGAACCCUAGCGCAGUAAUUCUUCUCGCUCAGGGGACUUCUGGCGGGCUUUCUAGCCAACUUAAGCCUAUAUUUUGAAAGGUUGACCUCGGAUCAGGUAGGAAUACCCGCUGA
rnacentral:misc_RNA from 1 species